rnacentral:misc_RNA from 1 species
GAACUUCUUGGUAUUAAAAAGAAGGCUCUUGCUUUAAGAAGGGAGGGAAGGUUAGAUGAGGCUGAAGAAGAACUGGAAAGAGGCAAGAUUCUUGAGAAGCAACUUGAAGAUAUUGAUAAUCCACCAAAAUUUGCGCAGCCUAUUGCUGGGAAUAAGCGUAAUGAAAGUAUUACAGAUAUUGAUGCUGGAGAUGAAGAUGCAGAGGUUACAGAUCAAGAUAUGCAUGACCCAACUUAUCUUUCACUGCUUAAUAAUUUGGGCUGGCAGGAUGAUGAAAAAGCUAAUAUUCCAUCUGUAUCAUUUCAAGG